GGGGUUUUAGCUCAGCUGGGAGAGCGCCUGCUUUGCACGCAGGAGGUCAGCGGUUCGAUCCCGCUAAGCUCCACCA
rnacentral:tRNA from 1 species